UACGGAGGGGGCGAGCGUUACCCGGAUUUACUGGGCGUAAAGCGCAUGUAGGCGGGCGACUAAGUCAGGGGUGAAAACCGUGGGCUCAACCUACGGCUUGCCCUUGAUACUGGUCGUCUUGAGUACAGGAGAGGGAAGCGGAAUUCCUGGUGUAGCAGUGAAAUGCGUAGAGAUCAGGAGGAACACCGAUGGCGAAGGCAGCCCCCUGGGCCUGUACUGACGCUCAUGCACGAAAGCGUGGGGAGCAAACAGG
rnacentral:rRNA from 1 species